UUAAAAACUGCUAUUUUUGGAAAGUUUUCAUUUUAUAGAUAAAUGUUGUAGAUUUGGGUUUGUGAUUUAGAACUUAGGAUAACUAGACUAUUUGUGGAUAGAUGAACACUCUUUAAGAAUUUUUCAUCAAUGUGUUGUAUUUUUAAAUAAUUUUCUUAACAACUGCUAUUUUUGGAAAGUUUUCAUUUUAUAAAUAAAUAUUGUAGAUUUGGGUUUGUGAUUUAAAAAUUAGGAUAACAAAAAUAUUUGUGGAUAUGUGAGUAUUAUUUAAGAAUUUUUCAUUAAUGUGUUGUAUUUUUAGAUAAAAUUCUUAAAAACUGCUAUUUUUGUAAUGUUUUCAUUUUAUAGAUAAAUAUAGUAGAUUUGGGUUUGUGAUUAGGAUACCUAGACUAUUUGUGGAUAGAUGAACACUCUUUAAGAAUUUUUCAUCAAUAGGUUGUAUUUUUAAAUAAUUUUUUUAAAAACUGCAAUUUUUGAAAACAUUUCAUUUUUUUAUAGAUUAAUAUUGUAGAUUUGGGUUUGUGAUUUAGAAAUUAGGAUAACAAGAAUAUUUGUGGAUAAUUGAGUAUUAUUUUAGAAAUUUUCAUCACCAAGUUGUAUUUUUAAAUAAUUUUCUUAAAACUGCUAUUUUUGGAAAGUUUUCAUUUUAUAGAUAAAUAUUGUAGAUUUGGGUUUGUGAUUUAGAACUUAUGAUAACUAGACUAUUUGUGGAUAGAUGAACACUCUUUAAGAGUUUUUCAUCAAUAGGUUGUAUUUUUAAAUAAAUUUCUUAAAAACUACUAUUUUUGGAAAGUUUUCAUUUUAUAGAUAAAUAUUGUAGAUUUGGGUUUGUGAUUUAAAACUUAGGAUAACUAGACUAUUUGUGGAUAGACGAACACUCUUUAAGAAUUUUUUAUCAAUGUGUUGUAUUUUUAAAUAAUUUUCUUAACAACUGCUAUUUUUGGAAAGUUUUAAUUUUAUAGAUAAAUAUUUUAGAUUUGGGUUUGUGAUUUAAAAAUUAGGAUAACAAGAAUAUUUGUGGAUAGAUGAGUAUCAUUUAAGAUUUUUUCAUCCAUGGGUUGUAUUUUUAAAUAAUUUUCUUAAAAACUACUAUUUUUGGAAAGUUUUCAUUUAUUUAAAGAAAUAUAGUAGAAUUGAGUUUGUGGUUUAAAAAUUAAGAUAACAAGAAUAUUUAGGGGUAAUUGAGUAUUCAUUUAAAAAAUUUCAUCACCAAGUUGUAUUUUAAAAUAAUUUUCUUAAAAACUCUUAUUUUUGGAAAGUUUUCAUUUUAUAGAUAAAUAUUGUAGAUUUGGGUUUCUGAUUUAGAACUUAGGAUAACUAGACUAUUUGUGGAUAGAUGAACACUCUUUAAGAAUUUUUCAUCAAUAGGUUGUAUUUUUAAAUAAUUUUCUUAAAAACUGCUAUUUUUGGAAAGUUUUCAUUUUAUAGAUAAAUAUUGUAGAUUUGGGUUUAUCUAGUAAUUAGGAUAACCAAAAUAUUUGUGGAUACAUAAAUAUUCUUUCAGAAUUUUGCAUCAAUAUGUUGUAUUUUUAAAUAAUUUCCUUAAAACUGCUAUUUUUGGAAAGUUUUCAUUUUUUUGAGAAAUAUUGUAGAUUUGGGUUUGUGGUUUAAAAAAUAGGAUACAAGAAUAUUUGUGGAUUGAUGAGUAUUAUUUAAGAAUUUUUCAUCAAUGUGUUGUAUUUUUAAAUAAUUUUCUUAAAAAC
rnacentral:lncRNA from 1 species